rnacentral:rRNA from 1 species
CCCUUAGAUGUUCUGGGCCGCACGCGUGCUACACUGAGUGGAUCAGCGGGUCAGGUUGCGCGAAAGCGUUUCCUAAUCUUUAAAUCCGCUCGUGAUGGGGAUUGACGGUUGCAAUUUUCUGUCAUGAACGAGGAAUACCUUGUAAGCGCGGGUCAUCAUCCCGCGCUCAAUACGUCCCUGCCCUUUGUACACACCGCCCGUCGCUCCUACCGAUUGAGUGGUCCGGUGAGGCUUUGGGAUCUGAGCGGAAAGAGCGUUUCGCUGUUUCUGCUCGGAAAACUCAGUCGAACCUUAUCAUUUAGAGGAAGGAGAAGUCGUAACA